rnacentral:rRNA from 1 species
UGGGGAAUAUUGCACAAUGGGCGCAAGCCUGAUGCAGCAACGCCGCGUGCGGGACGAAGGCCUUCGGGUCGUAAACCGCUUUUCUGGGGGAAGAGCAAGGACGGUACCUCAGGAAUAAGUCUCGGCUAACUACGUGCCAGCAGCCGCGGUAAAACGUAGGCGGCGAGCGUUAUCCGGAUUUACUGGGCGUAAAGCGCACGCAGGCGGCUCUGUUAGUCGGACGUGAAAGCUCUCGGCUUAACCGGGAGAGGCCGUUCGAUACUGCGGGGCUUGAGGUAGGGAGAGGAAUGCGGAAUUCCCGGUGUAGUGGUGGAAUGCGUAGAUAUCGGGAGGCACACCUGUGGCGAAAGCGGCAUUCUGGCCCUCACCUGACGCUGAGGUGCGAAAGCGUGGGUAGCAAACA